rnacentral:misc_RNA from 1 species
GAUGAAGAACGCAGCGAAAUGCGAUACGUAAUGUGAAUUGCAGAAUUCAGUGAAUCAUCGAAUCUUUGAACUCACAUUGCGCCCUUUGGUAUUCCUUAGGGCAUGCCUGUUCGAGCGUCAUUUAAACCUUCAAGCUCAGCUUGGUGUUGGGUGACUGUCCGCUUCACCGCGGACUCGCCUCAAAAUUAUUGGCGGCCGGUACAUUGGCUUCGAGCGCAGCAGAAACGCGAACUCGGGCCCGUCGUAUUGGCUCCCAGAAGCUAUCUUCACAAUUUUGACCUCGGAUCAGGUAGGGAUACCCGCUGAACUUAAGCAUAUCAAUAAGCGGAGGA